UACCAGCACCCCGAGUGGUCGGGACGUUUAUUGGGCCUAAAGCAUCCGUAGCCGGUUCUACAAGUCUUCCGUUAAAUCCAGCUGCUUAACAGAUGGGCUGCGGAAGAUACUAUGGAGCUAGGAGGCGGGAGAGGCAAGCGGUACUCGAUGGGUAGGGUAAAUCCGUUGAUCCAUUGAAGACCACCAGUGGCGAAGGCGGCUUGCCAGAACGCGCUCGACGGUGAGGGAUGAAAGCUGGGGAGCAACCGG
rnacentral:rRNA from 1 species